rnacentral:rRNA from 1 species
UGGGCUGAAUCUGCGGAACCUCAUGGAAACAUGGGGGUGUCCAGCAAUGGAAGCCGCAAGAC